GCAACAAACUCCUAAGGUAGCCUCGGACCAGCACCUGAAUUCUUCAUCCAUGCCAGAGAGGCCCAGGACAGUGCUCCCAACCAUGAAGAGUAAGGCGCAAAAUGAGAAUAUUGCGCAGUACAGCAUGAGAAACCAAGAGAAUUACUCAGCAAUUGGAAGUGACCCAGACCCAGGAGACUGACCAGCCCAUGCCGCAUCUGUCCAGCCCAGGGACCAAGGGAAUUGGAAUCCCACACUCCAGAACCGGUCAUGGUCUACCGGUGUGUUGCAGCAUGUUAUUGGCCGCCUCUGGCCUGGAAUUGUUCCAGCACGUAGAGGAUACCCAUCAAAUAUUUUUUCCCUUAUGAAUGGAAUAAAAGGAAGAAGGUGAUCUCUUCUGGAAACUAGAGAUGGAAAGAGUUGGACGGGUUGGAAGGGGUGAGCAGAACAGGAGCCAUGAGCCAGUCAAGUGCAUCCCAGCUCUCACAGACUUCUCUUGCUGAAUCCAUACUGGACGCUCUUGGCCUAGCCAACACCUGCCCGCUGAGGGCCAGCUCCCAUCCAACCCGACCCACCUCCUCCAUGAAGCCUCUCUGACUGCUGACCUGAAGUCUUCUGUGCUUAACACCUAACUACCUCUGGUGGCCCCUUUUGUUUUAAGUAGCCUUCGUGCCUAGUGUGAAGCCCAAUGCAGGGUUUGAACUCACAACCCUGAGAUCAAGACCUGACCAGAGACCAAGAGUUAGACACCUAACUGACUGAACCACCCAGGUACCCCUCAUGUGGCCCUUUUCAGAAGGCUGCCUUUUGACAUCUCUCUCCUAUUGUGAACAGCAGGCCAAAGCCCACAUGAUGUUUGUAGUUUGCCAGGCCUGUGUCUCAAGUCCCUGCCUCAUCCUCACCCUCCUUGAGGAAGAGGCCGCCUCGCCCUCUGUGUGUUCACCCAGUGCACAGUGAGCACCUUCUGGCCAUGCAAAUUCUUUGGGACCUGCUUGGUGACUUGGAGUUGAGCUCUGCUGCCUGCAGGCACCAGGAGUGAGCCUCCCAUGGGGUAGGCAUGGGGCUAAGUGUGCUGGAUGGGGCGGGUAUGGAGCAGUGGAGACCAGAUGGUGAGAGAGCGCACUGAGAAGGAGAGAAAAGAAAGCCAUCAGACCGAGAGCACCUGUUGUUGUUAGAGCAGUGUGAGGACCCACAUCCAACCAGCUGGCCGUCUCUGCUCCUUGCUCUUGUCACAACCUUCCAGAAGAGAUACGGACACUCAGAAUUGUCCCCAUUCUCCCUUCUCUUUGUUUCCAGUGCUGGUAGUGGUCAGUGUUUGGUGCAGAUAAAAUGAUACAGCGAUACUGCUGAUGGGGGCGAUUUAUCUUGCCCGUAACAUCCAAGAGAGUAAAGGAUAAAGAUCUGAUAGGCUAGUAGUAGGUUGAAAGGUGACCGUAAGCCUGUGAGUGAGGGUCACCAACACAUAAGCCCAUGUGGGUGCCCGAGCAAGAAGGUAAUGUUCAUGCCGUGGGUUCAGGAAGGACUCUCACGGACCUAAGAUGGGUUAGAAAUGCACUGCACUCCUGAGUCUGGUUCUGGGCUCCCACAGGGGACACUGGCACUUAGAGAGAGGUCAGAGGGUAGCCUUGAAGGUGAUAAGCAGGACGGGCAGCAGGGCCUGGGAGAAAAAGAGGUUGGGAUUAUUCAUCAGGGGAAGACAGGCAGGCAGGAUUUAACACAAUCUUCAGGUAUCAGAAGAGCUCUCAGGCAGUGCAGGCUAAGUCUUGGCAGUGGCUACUGAGGAUGGAACAAGGAAAGAAACUUAAUCCGCAGCAUAAGGGAUUUAGGAUAGAAUUUCCUGAUGGUGAAGGUUGUUAAAAGUUGCAAUGAAUGGUCUAGAGAGAGAUUCUGGUCUACUCUGGAAGCUUUUACAAGUAGAAGAGAUUAUCCUCUGGCAGGGCAGCUUAUCUCUAAUCCUGCCUGAAGGCAGGGGAAUGGACACAAUGACCUCAGGGUCUCCUUCAGACUUGGAAAGCAGGUCUUCCCAUCGGCAGACCAGCCAACACUGCUAUGCAGGUGAUGCACUUCAAGGAAGGCCCAGAGUGUUCCCAGAAAUAAAGAGAAGCUGCCUGAUGUGAGAUCUUCUUUCCUUUUUCUUAUUUUUUAGCCACAGCUGCCUUGCAGCAAUGACCAAGUUCCUCUGUAAUCUCAGCUCUGAUCAAGGGCAAUUUAAACAAGAAAGCCAAAAGCAGCCACAGACCACACAGAGAUAGAUGACUCUCUGCUCUGCAAAACACCCCAGACAACAGAGCCGUGGUUGUGGUCUUCUCCACGGAGGGCUCUGCAUUUAACAAGCCAUGUGAAAAACUUGCUGACCCAGCCAGGUAGCAGCAAUGGGAAACGUGAGGGCAUUCCCAGCCUGCUGCUGCCAGCCAUCACGCUCAAGCCGCCUGUGCUGCAGUCCCCCUUCCUGUGAGUCAAGUGGCACGCCUUUCGGGAAAGCACCUGCUCUCAGCUGUUCAGCAUGGGGGUCAGGGGAGAAAUGAAAUGGUCUUAUACCUGACCUGGGAGACAGCCCUGUGAGCCAUGAUACACACUGAGAGCAUUAACAGGUAUGCAGACAGCCCUCUGGACACCCUCUGAAGGCUUCUGGGCUUGUGCUGAGCUCAGAGGAAGAGGAAGAGUAGGGCAGAGAGCACCAAAAAUCUUCUGAAGUGGUUUUCAAAAGUGCUGCCCAGGUAUGUGAGCAUCUCUACACAGGCCAUGGCUGAGUCAAUGUUUUCUGUAAACUGAAAAGACAAAGAAGGGAUGUCCUUUGGCUUUCUGGAACCUGGGGCCUGGCUUGGAGCAGCGUUCAACCAGAUACGGUGGAAGGCUGGGUUCACACUGCAUGCCAGUGGGCACCUCCCCGCUCCAUGGAAUGUCUGUGGCUACUUUUAUCUUCAGAGAAGAACAGGUGGGAAAAUAAAGUUAAAGGCACUUUUUACCCUGCUCUCCAGGAAUGAGCUCCAGGCCUCAGGCCUGUGGUUGUGGGAACACACGUUUCCACCACAGGGAAGGAGAAAAUCAGCCUGAUAUGCACAUGACAUGCCAUGACAUCCUAAGCGUGAUUAGGUCCCUGACUGCAUGGGAAAUGAAACCACAGGCAUUUAAUAGAGGACCUGCAGCCAGGCCAUCCAGUCCCUUCUGCAGCACACAAGCUGGGCACCCAAUUCUCUGUCCUCAGGCACACCUGUUGUGAGCAUUGAAGAGCACCAAGGAGCACUGAGGAGCACUGGGGAACCCUGCAGAAUGAGAAACUCAACUGCUCUCCCAGGGAGGAUUUGCAUGGGCAGCAGGCGCUGGUCCGUAACAACCAAAACCCUGGGUUUCCCCAAAGAUUCUAUCCCUGAACAGAGACAACAUGUCCCAGGAGAAAUGGAAGUAUGUGGAGAGAGGAAGAGGAGAAAAACAGAAGUAAUGGAAAGAGUGACAAACAGCUAGUCUUGUUUGCUGGACUGGUUACUACUGAGCUGUUUGCCAUUUGGCCCCAUGUAUUUUUAAAGCAUACAGUUAAGGAGCAUUUAUUAAAAUGUUUUCAAGUUGUCCUUCUAAAGAAGAGACCCUGACAGGCCACUCAGUAUACUGCAAAGGUGGGUUAAAUACUAUUAUCCCUGCAGCGACGAUGGGGAGACAAGAGUAUAAUGGAUUACCUUAAUUUCCCAGAGACAUGCGGUGAAUUCAUUACGGGGAGGAAAAACGGAAAAGAAAAAGACAAUCAGAUUACAGAGUCUUGAAGCUGGGCCGCCUUGCCAAGAAAGCCAACCAGUGUGAGGGAAGGAGAGACAGCCCCAAACCCCCAAGGGUGCUGCUCCAAAAUGCAGUCCUUAGAAACACAGCCGCCUUUGGGAAGCUCCAAAUUCAAAUGUGCAACAGAAACAAAUUCACCACACACAAACCGUGAGGCCUCAGCAAUCUGCCUCGCACCGCAGAUUGGGAGAGGAGGAAAAAAUAAUCCAGAUCCUAAUUUAGUUCAGGGGCUUGUUUUCUUACACUGACAAAUCCUUCUAAAAAUGAUUUCCUGAUUAGAGUCAAACGGCCGAGGCCAAAACUCUCGGAGAUUGUGUUGCCGUCAGCAUAUUAAUGGUGUUCCUUAGCAACUCUCUCUCUCCUCCACUUUUAGAAGAAACAACACCUCUGCCAGGACCACAAAGCUGGAGAAGCCUCAGCACCUCUGAUGAUUCAUGGGCUUGGAGGAAGGUGCGGACCUGCCAGGCAGCAUGAGGGGGGAGCCUUGCUGGUGGCAGGACAUGGGCAGCGAAUGCCAAGUCAGGUGCAGGGCCGUGCAGGGAGACGGUGGGAGAGGACGGGCGAGGGGCCACCUCUCUCUGUGUCUCUCCAGGAUUGCAACUGUCAUCUGCAAUUUACCAACUUGAAAUACAAAUCUUGCUCCUCACAAAGAGCUGAUGUCUUUUUCUCACCAGACUUAAAGGUGCAAAAAACGCUAAAGAGAGGUCAAGUCAGUGAUGACUAAGGAAAGGGGUUUCCUGAACUGAUUCUGUUUUUAUAAUAAAUUCUGGAAUUUUCAGAAUCGCCUUGGAAGGAAAUGAAAGUCAAGACUUCAUUCAUCCAUCGAUUAAACAUUUAUUAUGCAUCAACAGUAUGCCACGUGUCAUCCUUUGUGCACUAUCAGUGAGCAGUGAGCACUACCGGUGAGCCCAAACGCUGGAGGGAUCAUCAACUCCAACAAUCUCAUUUUCUAGAUGAGCAAACUGAGGCCUCGUGGGGUCAGCCUCCCUGAGACAUGUGUGAUUUAUUGACAGAUCUAGAGCAUGAAUCCAAGUAUUUCCACCAUGACUACUAAUUCUCAGACCAGAUGCUUCUAAACCGGACUUGGAUAGUCUCACUUUGAGAAGGGGAGAAGUGAAAUUCAAUUUGCCAAUAUUCCCAUCCUUGGAGGAAGUGAUAUUCAUCAUAAGCCAAAACAUAUUGGCCUCCAGUGGAUUGGAUGAUGCUGACCCACACUGGUGAGGCUCCAGAAUGAAUUUAUCUCCUCUGCACUAUGGGAAGAAGAAGAAUGCCAACCUCACAGAGUUGUGUGUCACUUCAGCAGCACAAGAGAGCCGAAGCACUUAGCACAUCUCUGGCACACAGUGAGCACUUAGUAGCUGGUGCCUAUCACUUCUGUUACAAGAAUCACAGACUGUGGCGAUGGAAGCACUGGUGACAGAAACAUGAGGAAGAAUUUCCUAGAAGUAUUGAGGGCUGCUCACUCAUGGAAGCUACUACAUGGGCAGUAAGCCCUGCCCAGGGGCUGGCUGGUCAUCUCUCAGUCAAGAAUGUCAGGAAAAGUCCUGUACCAGGUGAUAGUUGGUUGAUAGCACCAGUUCAUUAAAAAUCCACAGUUCUGGGCAAAUCCAGGCUUCUCUUUAACAAUUAUGGGAAGGCCCAGAAAUUUGUGUUUUAAUAAGCAUUUCAAGUGAUUUUUAUGUAGCUGAUCAAACAGGGUUCUGAUUACCUAAGUUGGAGAACCACCUGUAUAAAUAAAGUUUAUGGUCCCUUCCAAAUUCUGGGGCUCUAGGCAUCCUUCACCCAUCCAGAACAGUGUCAUAGAAAAUAAUACAAGUUGAUAAAUUCAGAAGGAUUGGGUUCAAAUCUCUGCUCUGCCAUUUCCUAACUGUAUGAGUUACAGCACAUUGAUUAUUCUCCCAAAGUCUCAACUUUCCAGUCUUUAAAAUAGAGAUAAAGAUGACUACUUAUAUGGAGGUUCUGAAGGGAGGGGGUUCUGGCUCAUAAUAAGUGUUCAAUAAAUAUUUUAUGAACCUGAUAGAAAAGUGCCCCUCAUAGUUAGAGUAAAACAAUAGGGAUUUAACAAAUAUCAGUUCCCUUCCUGCCAUCCCGAACUUAUGCAUUAUAUAGAGGAAAGUGAGUUUGCCUAAACUAAGGAGAUGGACAAAAGGUGAGAAAGUGAGACAGGAGAACCGUGUGUAGAUGGAGACACCAGAAGAGCAGAAAAAUAGCUUGGGGGGGGGGGAUGGUAUUCCAAAAGAGACAAGAGGGUUCCAAAAAAUUAAAGAAUGGGGAGAGAAAAAACACAAUGUAUUAAAUUUCAGUGGGAAAGUAAGGAAGAAUGAAAGUACCAUAGAUCUUUCUGGAUUUUGUUGGGUGUUCUCAGUCAUUAAAUCUGCAUUUAGAAAUAUUUAUAUUUGCUGAAAACCAAGAGCCUUGGCGCACGGGGAGAAUGAAAAGAGCGAGGGAUAGGGUCUAAUUAAUCAUCAAGAGGCUGUCACAUUGACAACCAGAAGAAUUGGAAAGUUACAAAGUACCAGCACCAAACAGCAUCAAUCACCCAACGAUGGUAAAUAAAUUAAUCAAAAAUCAUUGGGUACCAAAAGGUCUGGGGGAAAAAUAAAAGGCAGAAGAGAAAAAUGAUCAGGAGCAGCAAGCAAGCAAAAUAGCAGAGCUUGACCCUGUUAAAACUGAAGCCAUGUACCCUGGCAGAUCGCCAGCCCCCUGCCUUCAAUGCCUCGCCCACCCCCAAGCAGGGGGCCAAGCACAGCUAGGUGCAAAUGCAACUACGGAUGCUGUUGUCUUCAAACCUCUUACCCCUUCUGUAUUAAAGAGGAGAGCCACACCUAUUCCCCAGUAAAAUGAAAAAACAUCAUCCUUAACAUUUAGCUCAUCCUAAAUACUACAUAUUUACUUUGCUCAAAACCAUUCCCUGACUCAUUAAGCUGCCAUAUUUGUGUACAAUGUGAAUAUCGAUAUGGGUAGUGAAAACUUCCCACUUAGCCUUCUGAGGACCAUUUAUUAAUAGCCCCAGGCCUGCAUUGACUACAUAAAUCUCUCCUCUGUGGUGCUGGGGGCCCUCCCUGAUCCAGAAUUAUAGUGCCUGGCCCUACCCUCCCCAACCUGGCCUAUAUUUCCCCAAGUUAUUCACUUUUUCUUUACCUGGCAAAAGAGUGGUUGUGGAGGAUAUUAACAAGAUCAUUCUUUUUUCAGUCAGGAUGCACGUAUUUAUACUUCCAGGUUCACACAGGAUUCAUGGGGCAUGACUAUGAAUUCAAACAAACUGAACACCUGGAUUUUCCAUGGACCAUUCGGAUCAUGAAAUACUCCAGUUCCGUUUAACAUUUGCUAGAGCUCGAGCCCCACAUUGUUUAAAGAUAUUUUUGACAUGCCAAAUCACAUAGCCUUUACAAUUUACCCACAACUGAUAAUUUGCCAUUUGAUUCCAUUUAACAGAUAUUCAGUAAAUACCUGCAGGAUUCCAGGGAUGAUGUAGAAGUGAGUGGAACCAGGUUUCUGUAUUCUAGAGCUCAUAGACUAGUAAGAGAGACAAACCAUCACAAACGAUGUGAUCUGGCCACCAUGACCAUGGUGACCACACAGAGACAUAACAACACACUGUAGGACUAAGGACAGAAGCAACUCUCGUAUGAGGUAUCAGGAAAGGCUUGCUGGGGUGUGGGAAGAUACAGGAACUUGACAUGACAUGAGAGAAAGUCAAGGCUUGGACAAUGGAGACAGAAGGAGGGCAUUUGAGACACAAAGAUGAGCUUGAGAAAAGCCUCAGAGGUGGGCAAAUGCAGGAUAUUAUCAAGAAUCACGAGAAGGCUGGUGUUGCUGUACAGAGAAAGGAGGGUCCUGAGUGGGAGGCAGAUGAUAAGGGUUAGGGAAAGUCCUAUAAAUACAAAAGUGUCCCUCUGCCCUGGACAAUUCCAACUGUCUGAGUCCAC